UCGUCGAAUGGCUCGUAGAGGAGGGCAGGGCGGCUACAAUUCGCCCGUGAGGAACUGCGCGCGGCCGUGGCCGAAGCUCCAGUCCUCGUCGGUGUUC
rnacentral:tRNA from 1 species